CCUACGGGAGGCAGCAGUGGGGAAUAUUGGACAAUGGGGGAAACCCUGAUCCAGCGACGCCGCGUGAGUGAAGAAGUAUUUCGGUACGUAAAGCUCUAUCAGCAGGAAAGAAAAUGACGGUACCUGACUAAGAAGCCCCGGCUAACUACGUGCCAGCAGCCGUGGUAAUACGUAGGGGGCAAGCGUUAUCCGGAUUUACUGGGGGUAAAGGGAGCGUAGACGGGAGCACAAGUCUGGAGUUAAAUGCCGGGGGCCAACCCCGGAACUGCUCUGGAAACUGUGAGGCUGGAGUGGAGGAGAGGUAAGCGGAAUGCGUGGUGUAGCGGUGAAAUGCGUAGAUAUCAGGAGGAACACCGGCGGCGAAGGCAGCUUGCUGGACUGUAACUGACGUUGAGGCUCGAAGGCGUGGGGAGCAAACAGGAUUAGAUACCCGUGUAGUC
rnacentral:rRNA from 1 species